CCUACGGGGGGCUGCAGUGGGGAAUAUUGGACAAUGGGGGGAACCCUGAUCCAGCCAUGCCGCGUGUGUGAAGAAGGCCCUCGGGUUGUAAAGCACUUUCAGUGAGGAAGAACGCCUGGUGGUUAAUACCCAUCAGGAAAGACAUCACUCACAGAAGAAGCACCGGCUAACUCCGUGCCAGCAGCCGCGGCAAUACGGAGGGUGCGAGCGUUAAUCGGAAUUACUGGGCGUAAAGCGCGCGUAGGUGGCUUGAUAAGCCGGUUGUGAAAGCCCCGGGCUCAACCUGGGAACGGCAUCCGGAACUGUCAAGCUAGAGUGCAGGAGAGGAAGGUAGAAUUCCCGGUGUAGCGGUGAAAUGCGUAGAGAUCGGGAGGAAUACCAGUGGCGAAGGCGGCCUUCUGGACUGACACUGACACUGAGGUGCGAAAGCGUGGGUAGCAAACAGGAUUAGAUACCCUUGUAGUC
rnacentral:rRNA from 1 species